GCUGGGCGCGGUGGCGCACGCCUGUAAUCCCUGCGGCUCGGGAGGUAGAGGCAGGAGGAUGGCAAGUUCAAAGCCAGCUUCAGCAAUUU
rnacentral:sRNA from 1 species